rnacentral:lncRNA from 1 species
UUUGUUUUCCCUCCUGGGAGCAGAGGGCUGGGAGAGCUCUCGGGGACGCUGAGCUGGUGUCACUUCACCCAUGACAGAAUUGCUCCCUGUGUGAUUUUGGGCUGAUUUAUCAGGCAUUUGAGGAGGGAUUUGUUUUGUGUGAGAUGCUGGCAGAGUGGCUGAGGAACAAACCCCUGGUUUUUGUUUUUUCUCCCUUGGCAAGAUCUAACAGUUACAAACGGAACGGCAGAGCUGCUGCACACGGAGCACAUCUGGUACCCCCGGAUACGAGAGAUCCAAGGUGCCAUCAUCAUGUCGUCGCUGAUCGAGGUGGUGAUCGGGCUGCUGGGGCUGCCCGGGGCUCUGCUGCGCUACAUCGGCCCCCUGACCAUCACCCCCACCGUGGCCCUCAUCGGCCUCUCGGGCUUCCAGGCUGCUGGGGAGAGAGCUGGCAAGCACUGGGGCAUCGCCAUGCUGUGAGUACCCUGCUGGGGAGACAGGGGUUUGGGUGAUGGGGAGGCUGCUGAGCGCUGCCAGCGCGGAGAAACAACGGGGCAGGAACGGGGAUGAGUCGAGUUCAGCUGGAAAUGUGGAGAGCAGCAGGUCAGGACAGCAGGAGCUGAGGAGAGCAGGAGCUCAGGAGAGCAGGAGAGCAGGAGCUGAGGAGAGCAGGAGCUGUGGAGAGCAGGAGAGCAUCAGCUCAGGACAGCAGGAGCUCAGAAGAGCAGGAGAGCAUCAGCUCAGAAGAGCAUCAGCUCAGGACAGCAUCAGCUCAGGACAGCAGGAGCUGAGGAGAGCAGGAGCUGAGGAGAGCAGGAGCUGAGGAGAGCAGGAGAGCAUCAGCUCAGAAGAGCAUCAGCUCAGGAGAGCAGGAGCUCAGGAGAGGAGCUGAGGAGAGCAUCAGCUCAGGACAGCAGGAGCUCAGAAGAGCAGCAGCUCAGGGCAGCAGGAGCUCAGGAGAGGAGCUCAGGAGAGGAGCUGAGGAGAGCAGGAGAGCAGGAGCUCAGGAGAGCAGGAGCUCAGGAGAGCAGGAGCUCAGGAGAAAAAGCCUGAAAAAGCUUUUCUCUCAGAAGAAAUCCUGCCCUGGGAGGAUGAGGAGGCCCCAGAGCAGCUGGGGCUGCCCCUGGAUCCCUGUGAGCACCCAUGGUUGGAUGGGCAGCUGGAAAAUCAGCUUCAACAGCAGCUGGAAAAUCAGCUCCCAGAGCGUUUACAGGAAUCAUGGAAUGAUUUGGGUGGGCAGAAGAUUAAAAAGCACCCAGUGCCACCCCUGCCACGGCAGGGACAGCUCCCACUGGCCCGGGGGGCUCCAAGGCUGGUCCAGCCUGGCCUGGGGCACUCACAGGGAUUGGGAAAGCUCUGCAGAAAGGCCACACA